GAUGAACGCUGGCGGCGUGCUUAACACAUGCAAGUCGAGCGAAGCGAUUUUAAGGAAGCCUUCGGGUGGAAUUAAAAUUGACUUAGCGGCGGACGGGUGAGUAACGCGUGGGUAACCUGCCUCAUACAGGGGGAUAACAGUUAGAAAUGACUGCUAAUACCGCAUAAGCGCACAGUGCUGCAUAGCACAGUGUGAAAAACUCCGGUGGUAUGAGAUGGACCCGCGUCUGAUUAGGUAGUUGGUGAGGUAACGGCCCACCUAGCCGACGAUCAGUAGCCGACCUGAGAGGGUGACCGGCCACAUUGGGACUGAGACACGGCCCAAACUCCUACGGGAGGCAGCAGUGGGGAAUAUUGGACAAUGGGGGAAACCCUGAUCCAGCGACGCCGCGUGACUGAAGAAGUAUUUCGGUAUGUAAAGGUCUAUCAGCAGGGAAGAAAAUGACGGUACCUGACUAAGAAGCCCCGGCUAACUACGUGCCAGCCGCCGCAGUAACAC
rnacentral:rRNA from 1 species